GUGGGGAAUCUUCCGCAAUGGACGAAAGUCUGACGGAGCAACGCCGCGUGAGUGAAGAAGGUUUUCGGAUCGUAAAGCUCUUUCGUUAGGGACGAACGUGCUCUUUGUGAAUAAUGAGGAGUAAUGACGGUACCUAAAUAAGAAGCCACGGCUAACUACGUGCCAGCAGCCGCGGUAAUACGUAGGUGGCAAGCGUUGUCCGGAAUUAUUGGGCGUAAAGCGCGCGCAGGCGGGAUAUCAAGUCUGUCUUAAAAGUGCGAGGCUCAACCUUGUGAGGGGACAGAAACUGGUAUUCUUGAGUGUCGGAGAGGAAAGUGGAAUUCCAAGUGUAGCGGUGAAAUGCGUAGAGAUUUGGAAGAACACCAGUGGCGAAGGCGACUUUCUGGACGAUGUCUGACGCUGAGGCGCGAAAGCUAGGGGAGCGAACGGGAUUAGAAACCCUGGUAGUCC
rnacentral:rRNA from 1 species